UGCAGUCGAGCGAAUGAUGAGGAGCUUGCUCCUCUGAUUUAGCGGCGGACGGGUGAGUAACACGUGGGUAAUCUGCCUGUAAGACGGGGAUAACUCCGGGAAACCGGGGCUAAUACCGGAUAACAAGAGAAGAAGCAUUUCUUCUUUUUGAAAGUCGGUUUCGGCUGACACUUACAGAUGAGCCCGCGGCGCAUUAGCUAGUUGGUGAGGUAACGGCUCACCAAGGCGACGAUGCGUAGCCGACCUGAGAGGGUGAUCGGCCACACUGGGACUGAGACACGGCCCAGACUCCUACGGGAGGCAGCAGUAGGGAAUCUUCGGCAAUGGGCGAAAGCCUGACCGAGCAACGCCGCGUGAGCGAUGAAGGCCUUCGGGUCGUAAAGCUCUGUUGUUAGAGAAGAACAAGUACGAGAGUAACUGCUCGUACCUUGACGGUACCUAACCAGAAAGCCACGGCUAACUACGUGCCAGCAGCCGCGGUAAUACGUAGGUGGCAAGCGUUAUCCGGAAUUAUUGGGCGUAAAGCGCGCGCAGGCGGUCUCUUAAGUCUGAUGUGAAAGCCCACGGCUCAACCGUGGAGGGUCAUUGGAAACUGGGAGACUUGAGUGCAGGAGAGAAAAGUGGAAUUCCACGUGUAGCGGUGAAAUGCGUAGAGAUGUGGAGGAACACCAGUGGCGAAGGCGGCUUUUUGGCCUGUAACUGACGCUGAGGCGCGAAAGCGUGGGGAGCAAACAGGAUUAGAUACCCUGGUAGUCCACGCCGUAAACGAUGAGUGCUAGGUGUUGGGGGGGUUCCACCCUCAGUGCUGAAGUUAACACAUUAAGCACUCCGCCUGGGGAGUACGACCGCAAGGUUGAAACUCAAAGGAAUUGACGGGGGCCCGCACAAGCAGUGGAGCAUGUGGUUUAAUUCGAAGCAACGCGAGAACC
rnacentral:rRNA from 1 species